UACGUAGGGGGGCGAGCGUUGUCCGGAAUUAUUGGGCGUAAAGGGUUCGCAGGCGGUAAUGUAAGUCUGAUGUGAAAUCCUGGGGCUAAACCCCAGUAAGCAUCAGAAACUGCAUAACUUGAGUCAAGGAGAGGUAAGUGGAAUUCCUAGUGUAGCGGUGAGAUGCGUAGAUAUUAGGAGGAAUACCAGUGGCGAAGGCGACUUACUGGACUUGAACUGACGCUGAGGAACGAAAGCGUGGGUAGCAAACAGG
rnacentral:rRNA from 1 species